UCGUAUAGAUUAUAACCUUGCAGCACCAAAAGACAGUAGGGAAGAGCCAUUUUGUUAUUAUAAUGAUCCUGAUAUUUGGCAUAAUCAAGCACCACAAAGCAGUAAGAAUGCGCCUUCACACAUUUAUCCUCAGGAACAAAGGCAUACACCAGAUGCCUUUCAAUACAGAAAACUAAAAUUGCCUCGAAGGGACCCCAGAUUUGGCAUGGGCA